AAAGAUUCAGCACUUGUUCAUCCACUCCAACCAGGAGGGGGAUGAAGAACACUCUCAGGACCUUACUCUAAGAGUAAGGUAGAGCUGGGAGCUGCAAGGAGCCUGGUUCCUCAGUCACUUCAUGGAGCAGAGAGCCUCCUCGCUACCUGUGCUGAACUGUAUAAGAAGCAUGCUGUGAUAUUGAGUCAAUUGGUUGCCCAAUCACAGACAUCUUUCACUGACAGAGUAACAGGUGUGUGGGCUUUGAGCAGUCGCUACACCUUCCCUCUUCAGGCAUGAUGAGAGGAUUCCUGCAGCGUUUUGCAAGAGGGUCCACACUACCUUUAUGAGCUGUAACACUCACCGUGAAGGUCUGCAGCUUCACUCCUGAAGCCAGCGAGACCACGAACCCACCGGGAGGAACGAACAACUCCAGAUGCGCCGCCUUAAGAGCUGUAAUACUCACCACGAAGGUCUGCACCUUCACUGCUGAGCAAGCGAGACCACGAACCCACCAGAAGAAAGAAACUCCUAACACAUCCGAACAUCAGAAGGAAGAAACUCCAGACGUGCCAUCUUAAGAGCUGUAACACUCACCGUGAAGGUCUGCAGCUUCAUUGUUGAAGUCAGUGAGACCAAGAACCCACCAAUUCCGGACACAGAAGGACGAGGAAUGAAGGGUGUUCCGCUGGAGAGUGAAGGAAGCCAUCCUUGAGGAGUCAAGAUAAACUUCGGAUGUAAGCUGAACGGUCACUGGGUCACAGAAUUCCACCGGGAACGGGAAGAGCCUCUGGAGCAGCGCCCACAGUCCUGCCUUCUGUGCUUGGGGUGAGUUGGGUGAGUGGAGCCAACCUAGACCUCGGGAUGGGCAGAGUAGGAUCCGCAGGCUGGCUCUGCCCUGCCCAGUGGUCAGGGACAGGUGCUCCGGGUGGGGGCUGUGCAGGCUGGGUCCCUUUACUGCUUAGGCUCCUGUCACCUUGCUCUCAGCCACUGCUGCAGGUGAGCAUUGGGCGGGCGGAUUUCUCACAGGAGAUAGACAACUUCAAAGGCAUGGUUGCUGUCUAUCCUGUCACCCCCAUGCACUCACAGGAUGAGAUUUUUUUAACCAUUGGGCAAAAUAAAAUUUAACUGUCAAAAAUAAAGGUCUGAUGCUGCCUAUGAACGGUUUUAUAUUUCAUCCUUAAUGCUUCUGUCUCUUUUUUUUUUUUUUUUUUUUUUUGAGACAUUGUCUUGCUCUGUUGCCCAGGCUGGAAUGUAGUGGCACAAUCAUAGCUCACUGCAGCCUCAAACUCAUGGGCUCAAGUUAGCUCUGAUGUUAGCCUCCCAAGUAGCUGGGACUACAAGUGUGCACCACCAUGAACAUUUUUAUUUUUAUUUUUUAAGGGAUGAAGUCUCACUAUGUUACCCAGGCUGGUCUUGAACACCUGGGUAUAAGAGACCCUCCCACUUCAGCCUCCCAAAAUGUUGGGAUUACAGGCAUGAGCCAUCAUCCCCAGACCUAUAUAUAUAAAAACUUCAGGACUAUUAUUUAUCUCCUAAAAUCAGUGUAGAGUAAUUUUUAAACCCACUCGCCUGUAUUCUGCAUAUCAGCUUUAGUUGCUUUCUCUUGCUGAGCCUUCUGCAUUAUCCAGGAUUGUUUUAUUCUCUCAAUAAACACAGCCAUUUCCUUGAACAGGGGAGGUAAUACCUGCAUAAGUGUACGUACAGUAUGUAGCAAACCAUGUGGGUAAUUCCUAAACUAUUUUGCUUUGCAAUAAUGAAGGGUUUGAAAACCCUAGGUGAGUAUUGGCCCUCUGGUGCCUCUCUCCCUCAGCUCUCUCUUCUCCAUUUUCUUUGCUGCUUCAUGCUUUCCUCCAUCUUUGCUAUGUGUCCCCUUCUUUCCUAAUUAUUUUGCCUUGAAAUGCUGCUUUUAAAAUACGGUUGCUGGCUUCUCCAGCUUUCCAUAUUAAAUUUAUGCUAAGUCCUGUAUCUUGGUGGCAGCGCAUCAGUCUUUCCUCGGCAAAGUCCUUGCUGACAUAUCCUUUUUGUCCUCUACUCCACCGUCUGCUCUGCAAGAGGCGUCUGGCUGCAAUGCCUCAUGCCAAGCUGCUUUGAAAUCAUAUCUGAAAACUUACCAUUUUGCUGAAAAUGUAUUUCUCUGGUGGAGUCUCCAGUGACAGAUGGUCUGUUUCAAUAUUUUUCUGCCCAUAAAAAAUCCCAAUAGUCAUGGAAAAGAAAUGUCUACCUUUGUAAGGAGCAUUUUGGGUGGGCUUUCUAGGGUUGGUUUCUUUGCUUGUUAUUUCCUGCUAGAAGUAUGUUAGAUGGAGGCUGUGUCCUAUUAUAGAGCCGUGUUUUGCAUAAAGUCUCAUCAACUGUCAGCAUCAUGACUUAAAAUGUGAUAAUG
rnacentral:lncRNA from 10 species